ensembl:lncRNA
AUGUCCUUAAUGCUCCUGUUUUUGCAGGACUUGACAAAAGGGUUUGCUGAGACAUGGACCAAAGGCGAGGAACAAGGUCAAGAGGAAGAAGAAGAAGGAGAGGAGGAAGAUGAUAGGGUUGAUGAUGAUGACGAGGUGGAGGAAGACGAGGAGGAGAACGACACAUUGUUGUCCUCGACAGAGAAACCAGUAGAAGAGACCCAGAGUUGUCCCAAAGAGGUGAAAGAAGAGCCUGUGCCUGAUGGACAGCAGAGAGCAGCUGAAAUCAGUGAGCAGCCCAAUAUUAAAGAAGAAAAGACACAUGAAUAUACCACAUCAGCCAGCGGGGAGGGAGAUGGAAACUCCAAAAACCAGCCGGCCUCCAACAAAAAGCUCUCGCUCUUUAGACGACUUUCGUCCUCCAGGCCCAAGCAGACAAAUGACAGGGAUCACACCUCAGUGCAGGGCCUUGCUGGCGGAGACCAAGCUGUCCAGGGAGAACCUCCAUCCCCGGCUGCUGCCAUCAGUGCUGUGACUCACCAAGGUGGAGCUCCGCAGCAGUCUGGUUCCAGAGGACCUCGCUCUGGAGCCUGCACUGUGCUAUAAUUCCAGGAAAAAACCUCUCAGAUGGCCUCAGUAAUCAGAAGAAGAGCAGAGUGUGAACAAGCUAAUUAGCUGCAGAUUUCCUCAGUGAUGCACAGCAUCAUCAGCAAAUACACUAAUCAGAACAGACACAAACAGAAAUACCUUAUAAACGGUACAAACUUAUCACAAACUCAUUUUGACUGAAGUCUUCUAUUCUGGAAGGUUUUAAACAAAAGAUUGUGGCUGCUCAUUAAUCCUGGGCACACAGAGGGUAAUACCACAUCAAACAUCCUUCGAAACCUCAAGGAAGCACAUUGUUCAGCCAAGAAAACACAGAAAAACUUUGCAUUUGUUAAAGGAUUACUCAACUGUCAGAGACUAUAAUGUGGCUAGGAAAGGUUUUUAUUCUUCUGUAAGUUAUCCUGUCACACCUGAAAACCCUGACACUGCGCUGACUCCAAACAGCAGUGGAAAGAAAAAGUAGAAAUUUUGAUAUGAUCCACGUUAGGAAAAAAACACAUCUGAAUGUUUGUCAAGCCUCAGUCACACAGCUCUGGAGAUUGAUUGUUGACCCCCUGGUAAUCUCUGGUUGCUAGGGAAAAAUGAGUGUUCCCUGACUGGUUUGUGAGUGGUUGCUGGAGGUUCCUGCUAGCCACUUGGUGAAAUCAAUCGCAAAGAACGUGCUGCACUAAAAACUUCAUCCUGAUGUAUUAGGUUGCUAGCAUAUUGCCGUGGUCGCCCAUAGUUUGCAUGGAAUAUGCUAACCUGUGGGCGACUGUGGCAAUCUGCUUGCAGUCAAACAAUUGCAAAGAGGUUUUUGGUGUAACACUGUAUACGUCUUUGUGAUCGCUUUCAUCUCCAUCAACCUUUUGACAACUGGUCAAGGAAUACUCAUGUUCCUCUAGUGAUCAGUGGUUGCCAGGGUGUCACUAAUUAGUCUAAACGUCUGUAUGACUGGGGUCAGACCUCCUCUAAUGGAGUAUGGGACCACUUGGUGGCUGCUCAAAGACUCUUAAAGUGGACCUUUUUUCAGAUUUUUCUGUUUUUGGCUCUGUGUGAUGUCAUACAGAGUGGAUAUCCUUAAUACGGUCAUCUGUGAGCAAAGAAGCUCCACCUACUUGUGGUAAAAACUGUUUGGGAGGGGAGAAAAGCAACCCCCAGUAUCUGAUAAAUAAGGAUUAUUUUGAACUGUGAAUCAUGCAAAGCUGCUCUAACAGAGUCAAAGAGUAAAAUUUUUGACAAAGAGUAAUGCUUCAUAGAUGGAGCAGAAAGCAGCUUCUGAGUGAUGUAUUUUUUUUUCUCCUUUCCUAAAAAACAAGAAAAAAAACACAACUGACUGACUAAUCUCUUUAUCAAUUUUUUUUUUACUAAUUAGCAAAUGUUUCUGUAAAAGUUUUAAAGGUUUUCCAACCCUUUGAUUCCACUGAAUUUCCUGUCAAUCUAACUCUUUCCACACUGAAGAGUUUACGUGGAGAAUUCCUUUAAGUUCUUGUGUUUUACUUUCUUUUAUUCGGGGUCCCAUGUUUUGGAGUCAGCAGCUGGACGUCUCAGUGAACUUUAAGUAAACCACUACCAGCUGAGCCUACUCCUCCACCAGUAACACCAGAACAGCUGUGAUACUGGUGAUACUGCGUUUUUUUUGUUAACUAUAUAUGUUUUUGAUUUCCUCUCCUGAGCCUGAAUGUGUGUGUGUGUGUGUGUGUGUGUGUGUGUGUGUAAAUAAGAUUAUUUAUUGCUCAUCCUGGAGCACAUUUGCACUUUUAAUAUAAAGGUUUCUUAGAGAUGCAUUACUUUUAUGUUCUGAUCCAAUAAUCUCAUUUAAUCUCUCGCUUAUGUUGAUUUUUUUUUUAAAGUUUGGAUUUUUGUGAUAAUAAAGAAUUUUAUAUAAAGUGACAAAAC